CGCGCCCGCCGCCGCCGGGGAGAACCCGCGAGGGGCGGCGGCGGGCGCGGAGCGCGGGCGGCUCGGGGGAUCGCACCGGCGAACGGCGGCGCGGAGGGCCCGGGCGGCGCUCGGGAGAGCCAUGGGCACGGCGGGGCCGCCGCCCUCCGCCGCCUUAAGUAGGGCCCGCGCGGGACCGCCCCCGGGCUCCCCGCUCCGCGGCCCCGCUCCGCCCCGCCUCUGGCCGCGCGCUGCUGCCGCCGGAACCGGCACCGGCACUGGGAUAGCGACUGAUUCUGAAAUCGGCACCGGCCCGGCAGCGGAACUGGGAAUUGGACUGGCACUGGCACCGAGACGGGCAUCAGCGCCGCCACGGGGAUGGGAACCGGGAUCCGGGAUCGCCACUGGGACUGGGACUGAUUCCGGGACUGGCACCGACACCAGGACAGGGACUGGCAGUGGAACUGGGAACGAGACCGGCACCGAGACCGGCACUGGAACCGAAACCGGAAGGGGGACCAGGACUCGGACCUGGACAGGAACCGGGACCAGGGAUUGGUACUGGGACCGGAACUGCGAGCAAGACCAAUGCUGGCAUAGGUACCGGGUCGGGGAUAGGAACCGAGGCUGGCAAGGUCACCGGGGCCAGCACCAGGACUGGAUCCACCCUGCCCAGCGCACCCCGCUCCCCCAGCCCCCUGCCCGGUGCCUUCCCCAGUCCCAUCCCCUUGAAGCAGCCGGUCCCAGGGGCACCUCCCUCCCCGAAAGCCCCAGGGAGGCCUGGGGGGGCAGGUGCGGCUCAAAGGGAGCCCUGGGUGGGGCCUGAAGGGAACUCUGUUCUUGGAGCAGUGUUGGGAGCAGGGCAAAGAGGACCUCAUGCCCUUGGAGGAGCCUUGGGAAAAUGAUGAAGGUCCCAAGGGAGCCCUGAAGGGGACCUGCGGGAAGCACAGGGGUCAAUCCUGCGGGGCCAAAGGGCUACUGACUGCUCAGACAGCCCCAGGGAGGGCCAAAGGAUGCAUCAAAGGGUGUUUGCUCCCUCUUAGCCAUCACUGGGGCAGGCUGUGGUGUGUCCAGCCUGUGGAGCUGGAAACACUUGGAGAAGGGAUCUCAGACCUGCGGGACCUGUUCUGGGAGAGAUGUUUCAAGCCCCUGUACUUGCUCCUCUCCUCCUGAUGAGUGUGUGAACAUUUUAGGAGUUUCAGCUGAAUCCCCACUCAUUUGGUGGGGUCAGUGGGUGCUUGGGUUGCUUGCGGCAGCAGACUUGGCUCCCUCGUCAUGGGCUGGGGCUGUUGGGCUUCACCGAAUCCACGGAGCACCGGAGAGGGCUGGCAGGACCUCGGGGUCUUCCCAGGCAGGGCGAGUGCCCGUCCUGCUCGUGGCAGGCGUUUGCCUGAGCUGUUCCUCCCCGGCACACCCAGUGCUGAGCUCCGGAGAUUACCGAGCACAUCCCUGACACCCCGCGUACAGGAAUGCUCCCGAGAGCUGGCCUGGGAGAUCAGGUACCUCCCUUCCUUUUCGCGGGAUUUUUUCACAGCUGCAUCACAGCUGCAUAAUUUCUCUGUGCCCACGUCCCUUCUCUGUGCUCUCAUCCCCUCUCCGUGCCUACGUCUUUUCUCUUUAUGACCAUUUUCCUUCGCCAUGCCCACCUCUCCAGCCCCGUUUCCAGUGGCUCCCGGAGGAUGACUCCGGGCUGAUGAAGAGCUGUCCAAAUCCAGCUCCUCAGUGACAUCUUGUGCUGGGAAUGCUCAGCGCAGGCAGGAGAUGGGAAAAUUAGUUCCUGCAAUUGUUUUUUCCUGCCCUCCUCAACAAUGACAUUGCUGAGGCAGUCAGCAAUGGUAACUGGCAGUGAAACCACGGGGAUUCCCUGAGCUCAUUUGUAAGGUUUUCUUUGGGAACAUCUUGUCCUUCCACGGAGACAGCCAGGAAAUGGCAUUGCCUCUGACAGAGCUGAGUACAAAGCUCUGGAAAAGCAUCCACUUCCUUCAAAACAUUCCCUGUGCUAACUCUUUUGUGCCAUUUAAAGAUAAUAAUAGUUCACCCAAAGUUCCUUGCCGUGAUGAGACUGCACAUAUGAACUCUUGGGAUGCAGUUCAAACCUUGUUUCUCAGCCAACUGCCACAGAGAAAAUUCCCUUCAAAGGCUCUAAUGGCACCAGUCACCUCUGGGAAACACUCACCCGGUCUUAGCAGGGAAAGCUUCCAAGUGCUGCCUGCUGUGCCAGCAGAGCUGCAGCCCUGCAGCAUCCAGCUGGGUGCAAAACCAGGUCUGAGUUUCUGAAGAAACUUUAGUCUCAGACCUAAACUCAGAGAUGAAAUGUUAAAAAGCCACUUUUGAUGGAGGUGAAAUCUGAUGAGGUUUCUCUCAGGAUGGUGGUGCCCGAAGCAGAGAAAAUCCCUGAGCUGGCAGCCCUGCCAGUGGCAGGGAGAUCAACAAGGGAUGCUCUAGGCUGCCGUGGGGACCAUACCAAGCCCUUGAGGGUCACUGUGGGUUCUUGCUCCCUUGUCCCCCAGCUCCCAAUCUCCCUUGGCUGUGACAUUAUGCCCUCAAGGGGUCAUAAUGUUCCUGUCUCCACCAUGCCCAGGCAGGUGCUGCUGGCACAGAGGGGCUGGUCUCUGCUCACGGUGGCUGCAGCUGACAUGGGAAGCUCAGUCCAGCCCAUGGCUGGAACACACAUCACAGACACAGCCAUGCUGCUCUAUCCCACACGGGGAACAUGGCCGAGGCUGGAUAGCACAGAGCCAAGUCCUCCCUCGGGCACUCUCGCCUGCACCAGCAAUGGGAAUAAAUCCAGGAGAAGCUGUUAUGGAUGGCUUGAGAAGCUGUAAAAUGUGAAGAAACAUUUGAAUGUGAGACAAAUAGGCAAGGAGGGAAUUUGGCACAGGAGGAGAUGCAAUUUAGAAGGAGAGGCCAUGCCAUGCAUAUUUCAUGGGUUGGCCCUCAGCAGAGGCUCCUCUGACACCACAAACAUCACAGAUGGCAAGGAGUAACAGCAGCCGCUCCCAGCAUCUGGGAAGGAGAACAGUGGGAUGAUCGCUCCUCCUGCCACAUGGUAGAAGUGGGCCAGGACACAGAUGUUGGAAGCUGCUGGCUCUGCUUCCUGGGUGUGGGACCAGCCUUCCUCACCCUCCUCUUCCUCCAGCCCAGUGCCAGACUAGGGGCAAGCCUGCCCCAUCCUUGGGGCUGGGGCUCUGUCCUCACUGUCCCACAGCUCUGUGAGCCCUCCAGCCCUGCUGCCCCAGCACUUUGUGCUUCCAGCAUUGGUCCUCUGAUGUUUCCUUGGAGAGUGCUGACUCAGGUCCUCCUGUCAGGUGUUUCUCACUGACCAUAUGCCUGACUUACCUGCGCUACCGAAUCACUCCCAGCGCAGGCCAGCAUGCACGAGGGACACCUGCAGCCUGUGGGAGAGGGUGGAUCCUCAGCUGGCAUCUGCUACAGGUGCCCCUUGGAACAGCAGGUGCUGGGGUGGCAGGAGCUGGGUGGGUCAGAGUCUGAUGUGGAUCCACUGGCAAAACCCAGGAGAAGGUGGACUUCAGGACAGUGCUUCCCAAAUUGCAGCCACGUGUGGGUUUUCAUCUUGUAGGGGGUUAUUUUUCUUCACAAGAGACUUCAUCUCCCUCUGUGCAACUCUUUAGGGAGAACUCCAGAUCUACUACUGCCCACUCUGAGGGGAUAAACCCCUGUGGGGUGCACAGGAGCUCCUGGCUCCUGUGGGUGUGUUUGGAUAAUGAGUUGGUGCUCUCUGACUCUACCUAAGCACCCUGUCAGCCUCAGUGUCACCCUCCUGAGGGUGAAUCUGACUUGUGCCACAGCAUGGACCACACUCUGGCAUCAGGAUGGAGGAACCAGCCUUCUCACAGCUGGGGAAGCAGGGAACUGCAUCCUUCCCCUUGCACUUGGUGCUGCAGAGGCUGCAGGAGGUUCAGCUGCUCCAGCAGGAUUAGGGGUGAUCCUUAUCCAGGUUGGCACAGGCAGAUCAGGCUGUGGUGUCCUGCCUCCAUGAGAGCAGAGUAGGAGUUUGGGAACUUGCUGGUCACCUGGGGAGUCACAGGGUGGGAGCUCCAGUUCCUGGGGCAUUCAUUUGGGUUGGGGGCCCUGGAGAGAGCAGCUGAGAGCUGCCACAGACCCUGCAGAGGAAAGAGAUGCUGGGUAGCUCCUCUUGCAGAUGAUCUCCUGGCCAGCCCAGACUUUGCUCUCCUAGCAUUGUUGGAUUUUGAAAGCUAGGCUGUGUUCUGGUCCCUGGCAUUUUCCACCUGCAUCCCAAUGAUUUUUGGUGAAUCACUUGCAGCCUAAGAAAUAAAUGUCUUGUUGGUUCUUCCUGUGAGCUCCUGAGUGCAGCUCAGCAGCCAUGAGAAAAUACCCAGGUGAAUUCCUGGUGAAUACCAGAUGAAGUCUCCACAAAGGUCAAUGCUAUUGAAAAACAAAUGGCCUCUGAAAGGGACCCUAGGAAGUAUCCCAGGCAAGGAAAGACACAUCAGACUUACCACAUCAGUUAAUUGUUUCUUUGCAGAGAGUCCUUCUCUUUUUCCUUCCACUGGCAGAAGGGAGUCAUGUGAGAUGUCCACAAGUGUGCCUGGGGGAAAAGGAACACCAAUGAAGACCUGAAACAAUUUUGCUGCUCUUACAGCUGAGAAAGGAUCAUGCUGGAAGGUUUCUGUGGAAGUGGGGCCUGGGAAAUGGACAUGAAAAGCCUUUUUUCCCAGCUGACUCCCUUGGCGGGCCAAAGUAAUUUUCUCUCAUUAGAGCUGCUGAUACAGCUGGAAGAAGUGAGUUCUCUCUCCAAAGCUUCAUCUGCCAGUGAGGGGCAGCAUCCCCCCAGAAAAUCUUGGGGUGUUUGGCUGUCCCAGCUUCUUGUCCCUCUGGCUGUGGCUCUUUGCACUGGAACUUGGAAAGAAAAAUAUUCUGGGAUGAAAAAUUUCAAGCCUAAAGGGUAAAGUUGGACAAAAUCCAGGUGAGACUUGGCAGAGAGACCCAGCAAAGGUUGUUCCUUGUUCUGACAUUUUUGCUCUGUGCUUUGGAGAGCCUCCCUGCAGCUCUGCUCCAGCCAGGUCAGGCUCUGCUUGUGUAAGAGGUGAUGUUAACACCACCACAUGUGACUUUCUCUGGGUUUUCCCAAUUUCUGUAUGUAUGUAUGUAUUUAUUUAUUUAUUUGUUGUCUCUGGAGCUGUGAAUAUUUCAGAAGCAGCCGCUGCAGUGGUCUAACACCCUGUGGGGAUGGCUGUCCCAUUGGCUCGCCCCGCUCCCAGGGGUGGCCCAGAGGCUUUGAUCCUCCGGCUGCCUGUCCACAGCAGACACUGCACAUCUGUGGUAGCACCACAACACCCUGACACAGCCCACUAAAUCAUCUGAUGGAAAUGAGGAGCUUGUUGAAGCUCUGGUUACUGGAAACCAAAAGCAAAGAGCGACUGUAUCUGUGCUGGCUCUGGGAUGCACAUGAGGGUGCUUUGAACAAGGGACGUGCUGGAGACUGCUCUGACUCCUUCUCCCUCCUGUGAGUUCUUCCACUCAGGUCUUUCCAAAGUGUGCCAACCCAUCCCUGCAAGGUUGGAGCUCUGCAGGAGGACCUUCAUGGGCUGUGCUGAGUCCUGGGCUCCUCUGUACCAGGAAGGACCCCAGAGCACUCCUUGGGGAUGCCAUGAGUCACUGAGAAGGUCUGCAGGUGCUGAGGCCAAAGGCCUCAAAAUUCACCUGUGGAGAAACAAGAAGAUUAGAUCUGACUCAUUCCAAGGGUUUAAACCAUUUCUGUGUUACUAAAAACUUGCCGUUAUGCUCUAGUUUUGUUUUUUUUUUUCAAUGAAAGAGAAAGACAGCAAAUUCAAGGUAAAAAAGCAAUUUGAAGAUGAGAGAUGAAUCUGCUUUGCCGUAAAUUUAGAGAAGUCAUCACCAAAUUUGAUGUGGAGUUGCUGUCCUCUCCUUCCCUCCAGGGAGCACUGUGGCAUCUCCUUUCCCCUGGAUUUUCCCCGUUCCAGAGAGAACGGAUUGGUGUUUCUUACCCAGAAACAGAAAUACAACUCCAACAACCUUCCUGUGCAGCUCUCUUGUUC